GAUGAACGCUGGCGGCGUGCCUAAUACAUGCAAGUCGAGCGGUAAGGCCCUUCGGGGUACACGAGCGGCGGACGGCAGAGUAACACGUAGGAACGUACCCCAAAGUGAGGGAUAGCCCACCGAAAGGUGGAUUAAUACCGCAUGUGGUCUUCGGAUUAAAGCAGCAAUGCGCUUUGGGAACGGCCUGCGUAAGAUUAGCUAGUUGGUGAGGUAACGGCUCACCAAGGCGACGAUCUUUAGCUGGUCUGAGAGGAUGAUCAGCCUGACUGGGACUGAGACACGGCCCAGACUCCUACGGGAGGCAGCAGUAGGGAAUUUUCCACAAUGGGCGAAAGCCUGAUGGAGCAACGCCGCGUGCAGGAUGAAGGCCUUCGGGUUGUAAACUUCUUUUCUCAAGGAGGAAGAAAUGACGUUAUUUGAGGAAUAAGCAUCGGCUAACCCUGUGCCAGCAGCCGCAGUAA
rnacentral:rRNA from 1 species